UACGUAGGGGGCUAGCGUUGUCCGGAUUUAUUGGGCGUAAAGAGCGUGUAGGCGGCCAGGUAGGUCUGCUGUGAAAACUCGAGGCUCAACCUCGAGACGUCGGCGGAAACCAUCUGGCUAGAGUCCGGAAGAGGAGAGUGGAAUUCCUGGUGUAGCGGUGAAAUGCGCAGAUAUCUGGAGGAACACCGGUGGCGAAGGCGGCAUCCUGGACCAAUUCUGACGCUGAGGAGCGAAAGCCAGGGGAGCAAACGGG
rnacentral:rRNA from 1 species